AAGAAAUUAAUUUUACUCGAGACAAAAUAUUAUUUUUCAAAAACCGCGCGCAUUUUUCAGUCAGUCACAUCCGCCCAUCCCCCACAGCUCACAGUCACGGACGGGAUCACAGCCGGACGGCUCGCGACGCGGUCACGGAAAAUAACAGCUAGCAAAGAAGCAAGGAGCUAACAACCAACCACAUCAAAGUUAUCAACGGCAAGUGUUAAAUAUGCAGUGUUAUACACAACAGUUUGUCAGUGAUAAAUUAAGAUUUGUGUGUGUGUGUGUGUGUGUGUGUCUCACAGCUGGACACAGACAAACUGGAGAGACAGCUGACAGGAUGUCGUCAUCUGUAACCGUCACUCGCCACAGUACUCAAGCAAGUGCAAAGGCAGCGAGGGGUCAUUUGCAACAAGACGGCUGAUACUAAUAUGGGCCUAAAAUAAAGGACAAUAAUGGCAUCAGCCAUUCAAGUUAUGAUCCUGGCAGCUCUACUACUAUCUGAAAAGUAGUCUCUGCAGAUAUUGUCAAGAUGCACAAGAUGGAGCGUGGAGAGACGGGAAAACACAGUUUUUCAGCACCCACACCCCACACUCAAAUUCAUAUAGAAGUCCUCAAUUAUUAAAUGUUAAUAUGAUAGUUUAUAUUUAGCUGUAAAGUUAUAGUUCAUUGUCAUAAAUAUUAAACUACAUAUUAUUAUUAUUAUUUUACAUGAUAUGCAAAUUUCACCAAUUUGUUCAAUGUGUUAAUGAACUUUUUGAAAGUGACUAUCUUUAAUAAUUCAGAUACCUGUUGAAAUGCACAUGUAAUUAUAUACUUGCUCGUAUCUGGAAGGUUGUGUUAAUAAAAAUGAUGUUGAAAGCAAAUGUUGCAAUACUGCU